GGCGGUAGGCGCUGUGCCCCGGGCGCGGGGAGGCUCGGGGAGGGCCCUGAGGCGCAGCCCUGGCCGUGCCCCCCCGGCCCGUGCGCUGUUUACCCCCUCAGCUGUCCGGGGCUCAGCAGCACCCCCCGCCGCCGCUCGCCCCGCGCAGCUCCGCGCAUGCGCCACGCUAACUGCGCCACCGCCUCCCGGGCACCCGCCGCGAUCUCAGCUCCACGCAAACGGCAUGCCAUCCUCACGGGGACCUGAAGCUCCACGCAAACCAGGCAGGCUGCAGAUGCCCUUGACAUGUAAGCUGAGAGGAAAUUGGGGCAGAGGAGGCUUCGUUUUUUCAGAGCUGGUGACAGAGAUAACCGUGGCUGAAGUUGAAGGGAGCUGAGGGGACUUGCUCCUUCUGGAUGGCAGAGCUGUGGAGUUUAAGGAGCUCGCUGCAGUCACAGAGGGAACGGGAGGCACUGUGGGGAAUGUGAAGAAGGCGUUGUCCUCCCAGAGCCAUAUAAACACCACCUCGGAGAGUACCCUCAUGGCACAGGCUUGCUGGAUUUUCAGCCUGAAGAGUGCAAGGAAUAAAACUGCCUGCGAGCUGCACUUGCUCUGCAUACAACAUGUAAGGGAAAGCAAUUUAAGUCAGAUAGAAGGCAUUGCUUAAUGCUGGCAAUAAAUACGCAUCUCCCGUUCUGCCCUCAGUUUAGGCUACACAUGCAAAUGCACACACAAAAAAAAAAAAAACCAAGAAAUUCAGAGUGUGUAUACGUAUUUAUAUAAAACUUUAGAAAAAUGAUGAUAAAGUUAAGUUUACAUUGCAUGCCAUAGUGAAGGAGUCAGAGCACGCAUGUAUGCAGGUUCACAGACAUCGGCCUUGCUCUGUGAGAGAGAAGCUGCACGGUUUGUGCUGCAGACAUCUGGCCAGCAAGCGCUGGAGCUAGACCAGGAUUUGUUUGCAGGUGGAACCGGUUUGAAUAGAGCAGCUGAAAUAAAAUGUAGUGGCAUGCGCCCUUUAUUUCCUACUUCCCUGUGCUGACAGACCGGAGAAAAAGAAAAUCACAUGGCAGGGAAAGCCUGAUGUGCAUCCAUGUUGCUCAGCCAUGAGAGAGCUGGAAGUUGAGGGAACAGAGGCAAAGUGUAAACAGAAAGCUGGUGGUGCUGAGUUGGUCUUCAGCAAAUAAAUACACAGAGGAUGAGAAAGAAAGGGCUGGGUCUAAUAGAGAAAUAGACUAUGCUUGUGUAAGAACUUUCUGGUAACCCAUGUGGCCUUCAGCCAGCAAGGUUUGCACUCCUGGUUUCUUUGAGCAGAUCUACAGCAAACACUUUCCUUCUUCUUGUGUGCCUGCCUGGGUUUACCUCCCCACGCAGCAUAAAUGAUGUUUACCUUCUGAUGAUUAAUGUCUGCUGGAAAAUAUUCUGAUCAAAGGUACGAGGGAACAGCAAAGCUUUGCUGCAGACUCUAUCAAUACGAGUACUGAAUUCUGCACGACUGCGUGUAAACACAACUCCGGGCAUUUGCUGGGUCCUGUAUCAGGGUGUGCUGGGUGAUGAAAGUGUGUGCUUCCAUGGCCUGGAGGAAGCGGGGUCAGAGCAAGCAGGUACCCACUGCUUGAAGGAAAGAGGGGCAGAGCACUUGCCUGUCUUUCCAGGGAAGGCAAUUGUGACGUGAGGUAUGGAGGCAGCUAUAUCCACAGGGUGUGAUUUUGCUCUCUGAGAUACAACAAGCUCUGGUGUAUUAUAACUUAUAUAAUUUGCUUGAUUGGACAUUUUCAAAGCUCUGUCUGCCUUCUCACACAGCUGUAUUGCUCUCCCUUUGCAGGCUAAGCAGCUUAAGCCUCAUUAUGCUCUCUUGUGCAAGUUCCAUGACUUGCAGAGAGCAUCUCAGCUGGGCCAUAAAACUGCAGGUAAGUGGGCUGCUCCCAUAGCACACAAGCUGAAAAAAAAACACUAAGGCUGGCAGAUAUUUGGAUAUGUGGAUAUUUGCCAACAUCAGAGCACUGCAGUGUUGGCUGAUUUACUCUGGAACACAGACUGAAUUGGAUGUCUCUAGGUCUUCGUGUCCUGAUCAGGGAGAAGCGGGAGUAUCUUUCCUCUUUGUCAUGAGUUUGCACCAACUUCAAUCGUUCCCAGAGUUCAGUAAGUUGAAAAGCCUCUGUCUGCACAAUGCAGCCAAGCAGCAAAGUAGCAAGCAGUCAGUGUGAUGCUGCAUCAUGUAAGAGCCAUGUGCUGGACAGUUCGUGCCAACUCACCACGAGUGCUGCUCGAUCCAGGCAUGAGGAGGUGGAAGAAUCUGACCCUGUUAUUUCAAGGCAACUCUGUACCAGUUUUAGCUUCUCUUAACUGUUUGUGGAAGAAAACCAGGGCCAGUGUUUGCUCCUGAACAAGUGUCUGGUUGUGUGCGAGCUCCUGGUGCAGUCCUGCUCCAGCUGAAAGGCGGAUUUAACUGCUGCCAUCUAGGCCAGGCUUCUCACCCACAUAUAAAGAAGCUCUCUCCAAAUGAGGAACAUUCUGGAUUUCUCACUUAAUUGGUAAAACAGAUUAAUUUGACUACCGAGACCUGGAAGAGAGGAAUUGACACACCUAGCUGGUUCCUGCUCGGGCUGGUGAUUCACGUUAAUGGAUGGGUCACGCUGAUUAUUUCCACCAGCAGCAUUUCCGUGCUCCCUCUUCCUGCCCAGCUCUGCCUGGGGACGAACAUCGCCGUUUCCUGCAGCUUUCCAUCUGAUGCCAUCAACGGGAACGUCACUGAUGGAAAGCAGCAAGCGUAACCUUCAAAAGCGCUUGAGUUUCAGCUGCCAUGCCAACAACCCGCGUGUUUCCCACACCGAGUGUCCCCAAGGGUCAGGGACUGCAUCUCUAACAAAAGGCUCGUUUGCCCGUUUGGCCGUUAAAUGGGCUCAAAACUCCCGCCAGCUCUGAGAGUUCCAGUCACACCAGUGACGCUCAGGAAGAGCGCAGCAGAGCCAAGAAAUCAGGGUGGCAGAGCUGAGCAGCCCCCCCGCGCUACGCCUGGGCUUUUGGUAGGGCCGUCUCAGAUUUCCUGGUGACUCAGGCUACGCUGCUGACUGGGACGAAGGGCACCAGCAAGUGCAGGUCUUUGCAGAGUCGGGUGCCAGGCAACAGUUCUCCAAGCAAGCACACCCAGAGCUGCGUGCCAGCCUAAGCAGACAUGGGAUCACCCACUGGUUCUCUUUUUGUUACUUAACUUGCUCGGUACCACGCGUGCGCAAGCUCGGUGCCAGCUCAUUAACCUCAGGUGGUUGCUCAUUAUCAUGUCAGAUCUCCACCCAGGGCUGAGUCUUAUCACUAAUUACGCAUCACUCACACUACAGAACAUCCUUGCUUUUUUUCUUUUGUUCUAACAUUAAAGCAGGCUUCUGGUCGCACGUUUGUACUUCCUUGUCCUCGCAUUGUUUCACCGUCACUUUUUAUUCUGGGUCAGCUACAGCCCCCCACUUUCCACACCCAUCUUUGCACUGCACCUCUGCACCCCACGCUUUGCAACUGCACCCUGCUUCGCAGCACACCCCUGGCCUCUGUGCACCUUGCUAUGCAGCACACGUGGCUUUGCAGUUGCACUCCGCUUUGCACUACAGCUCUCGGCCUCGUGCACCCCCAUUAUCCCCCCACACACACUUUGCACUCGCUGCUCAUUUGGCACCAUAAUCCACUUUGCAGUUGCACCCUGCCUUGCACCGCACCCUGCUCUGCAGUUGCGCUCUGCUUUGCGCCACACCUCUCACCCCAUGCACCCCCUACCACUGCACUCCCUUUCAGUGCACCCUCUGCAGUUGCACCCCUCACCUUGGUGCCCCAUCUUUCCACUGCAUCCCCCCCUCUACUGCACUCCGCUUUGCACUGCACCUCACCCCCAUGCAACCCUGCUUUGCAGUGCAACCCUCGGCCCUCAUUUCCAGUGCACCUUUAGCAGUUGCACCUUCCUUUUCAGCACAUCCCACCUUGCAUUUGCACCCCUCACCCUCCUCUUUACAGUUGUACCGCUCUUUGCACUGCACCUCGCUUUGCAGUUGCAUGCUGCUUUGCACCACACUCCUCACCUCCCAUUCCCACUGCACUCUUUGCAGCUGCACCCUGCUUUUCAGCACCCCCUCUUUUGUGCAUGCGCCCCUUACCCCCUCCUUAAAGUUAUACCCCGCUUUGCACUGCACCCCUCACCUCCCAUUCCCACUGCACCCUUUGCAUUUGCACCCUGCUUUUCAGCACCCCCCCCCCUUUAAACCCGUACCCCGUUUUCAGCUGCACACCGCACCCUGCUUUGCACCACUUAUGCUCUCGCCCCCCCUUUACAGCCGCCCCGCAUUCCCGGUGCCCCC